AUUUUGAUGCGACAAUGGCACUAUCACAGGGUGCAAAAACGGAAUUGCACUGGUGGGAGUGUCAUGUGGAAAACUCCUUUCAGAAAUUGACACAUGAGGAGCCACAACACAAAAUCACUACUGAUGCCUCCCUCUCGGGAUGGGGGGGCGGAGUACCAAGAUAUAUCUACAGGGGGAAUGUGGACUAAGUCUGAAGCUACAAAUCACAUUAACUACCUGGAAAUGUUAGCCAUCUUUCUUGGCCUAAAGACA